rnacentral:rRNA from 1 species
CAGUAGCCGCGGGAAUACGGAGGGCGCGAGCGUUACCCGGAUUUACUGGGCGUAAAGGGCGUGUAGGCGGCCUGGGGCGUCCCAUGUGAAAGGCCACGGCUCAACCGUGGAGGAGCGUGGGAUACGCUCAGGCUAGAGGGUGGGAGAGGGUGGUGGAAUUCCCGGAGUAGCGGUGAAAUGCGCAGAUACCGGGAGGAACGCCGAUGGCGAAGGCAGCCACCUGGUCCACUUCUGACGCUGAGGCGCGAAAGCGUGGGGAGCAAACCGGAUUAGAUACCCCGGUAGUCCCUGUCUCUUAUAC